rnacentral:rRNA from 1 species
GGUCUGAUCAGGUGGUUUAGCCGCAAGGUUAACACUGCUUUUUGGUCGGAUCUUUCCUUCUGACGAACCACGAUGUCAUUAAUUUGGUGUUGCGGGGAAUUUGGACUGCUACUUUGAAAAAAUUAGAGUGUUUAAAGCAAGCUAACGCUUGAAUACAUUAGCAUGGAAUAAUGAAAUAGGACGUUCGAUCCUAUUUUGUUGGUUUCUAGGAUUGACGUA